GACGCCGGGGCUGGACGGCGAGGCAGCCGCCUGCAAAGCGGCUUCAAACAGGUUCGACUCCUGUGGGCGUCU
rnacentral:tRNA from 1 species